CUGGACAGCCUCGGAAACCAGUAGGUGGAAAAACCAGAAGGCACAUAACACCGGAGGACAUGUAAACUGGUGUGAUUGACCCCUGCGAAUAUUGGGAAGCCCUUUUAUCCAAACAGGUGUACCUGUGCUGCUGCUUGAGUCAGGCCCUGCUAUGGUGAGGUGUGUUAGCAAUGACGGAUGUGGAGGCGACCUAUGAGGACUUUAUCGCAUCUCGGCGGUCUGGCCGCAGGAACGCCAUCCAUGAUAUCCCAGCAGGCCCUGCAGCUGAGGAAGCCACUGACCUGUCACAGAGUCUGGCACAGAUCAACAAGUCAGGGGAUGAGGGAGAAAACACUGAGAAAAGCGAGGACUCUACAGCUAAAGAAGGGGAGACUCAAGCUGAUGGCAGCUAAACAGACAUUUGUGGACUCAAACACCUGCAUCUUCUUGGCUUCCUGAUCCCUGAAUGCUAGGCCUUUAACUAGCUAGUUGCUAAUGACUGUGAAUAGACAUGACAUAAUCCUCUACUGCCACUGUCCCCCCAUCGUCGCUAUGGCAACCACAGCGCAGGCUCCCUUCUGCUCUUGGGUUUGUCCCAAUUUCCUUAAAAAGCCUCCUUUCCUUGCUGCCUUUCUUCCACAGCUGCUCAUAUGAGAUUGAAUGUGAUGUAGGGUAAACACCACGGUGAAUGGCGUCAACAACCACAACCAGCGCUGUUUGACGGCCAGUGGAGUCAGAGGAAAGGAAAGAAGGGAAACAGAAGCCAUUUAAGAUUUCUGGUGCAGGCUUAAGUGUUUCAACUGAAUGAAAAUGUUGUCACCCACUAUUCCUCUGCUCCUCUUGUAACUGCCUGCACAAGUGUGCUCCCUCUUAUCAGUUAUUACUAUUGACUAAUUCCAAUCUCCCUCAAUGAUUUUUAUUCGUAUAUGUGUUUUAUUUAGGCCAUGGAUCUCUCUUUCUUUAUCCAUCUGUUGAAUUUUGGUUGAGCUUGCUGGACGUUAUCUUGCAAUUGUCAUGGGCCAGGGUUUUUCAAAGUUCAACUGAAGAUCUCAAGGGAGAGGGUUUGUUUGGCCGUCUGUCAGGUGUGGUAUCUCAAACACCACUGAUUCAAAUUUAAAGACUUGUGGUUCCAUAAUACUGUAAUCUGGCACUUUUAAGAUUACAGACAGGGCUAGUCCAAAUCAGGUCAAAACGCAGGCUAUACUAGGCACAGAAUUGAUCUGCUUGGCCACUUUCGAGCUCUUUUACACUGAAUAUUCACUAACCCUUAUUGUGUACACUGCCAGGCCUCACUGAUGCAGUCAGUAUGUGCUUAUACUAGAUAAUGCUUAUGUUCCUCCCCAAAUGCAGCAUUUUUAAUGCAUUUUUUCACUGUAACAUAAGUCUUGUUGUAUGUGAUAGCGAUGGAUGCAGGAGUUCUUUUCAUAUGUACAAGGUGUAAAGUUUUUAUAGUCUGCAUACAAAAAGCAUCUAUAUCAAAAUGUGUCCUAGUUUUUCUAGAUCAAUACACUGCCGUUUAGCAUAUCUUAAUAUUUGUCUGUCAGUGUUUGUGUGUAUGUGUAUGUGUAUGUUGUGAAUGGGAUUUGGUUUUCAGUGGGUAUCGAGAUCAAGAAUUGAUUUGCCGCUGGAGAUGAGCGAAGUUCUAACUCUGAUUGCAUUUACAUACACUAGUGUGUUAUUGUUGUGUAUUAUAUUACUGUUUAUUGGAAGCGUAUAUUUCUCUGUGUUAUGGGUUGUCUAUUAGAAUGAUUGCUGAAUUUGUCCAGUCUACCUAUACAUUUGGCCUUUCCCAUUUCUCUGGUCAGUCAACCUUUCAUUAUGAACUUCAGAGAGAACCACUCCUCUAGGUACUUUAACGGUGGCUACGAUACACUACCUUUUUCUUUUACACCAAUCAAAUAUGUGGACACACACUCCGGAACAUUCUAUCUUGAAUUCAUAUUACACUGACACGGUUAUUUAAAAAAAAAAAAACUGAUAACAUCACUUGUUUAUCUUGGUUUGUUUUAUGAAUUUUUUUAGACAGAAUAAGGAAUGAAAUGACUCGUUGAAAGAGAUGUUAACAUUGUCUUUGCAGAUUGAGAACAACUUACACAUAUGGGCAGGUACAGUACUGUUGCACUGUGGGAGACGUAGAGCUCCCUUGAUCAUGUUAUAUUUUCUUUAGUUUUGACAUGUGAUUAAACCUCACCAGUGAAAAAUGGAAAAGCAUCAAGAUGAAUUCAUGCAUGUUGUCCUGUCCACAGAUUAGGGGGUUGAGUAAACAUGGUCCUCGUCUCCCUCUAGUGGACAGCGUUCAUGGUUGACGCCCUAUUUUGGAAUUUUAGCUCUCUAUGCUGGGAUGGAUACUGAGAUUUUUGGCCCAUGUGAUGGAAUUGGUGCUCUACAUGUGUAGACCAAUAUAAGAAUAAUUAGGCCAUACUAUGUUUAUAGACCAUGUCACAUAAACAUUCUUAAUAUGUCCCAAGUUGGUUGCCUGUUGAAGUGUAUGUAAAUGGCAGCAUAUGACAGGAAGUUAACAAGGGUCCAGGCUGUUGCCUAGCAAUGGUCUAUAGAUAUGUGUUAAGGCUAGACUUUGUGUAACCCAAGUGCAGAACUCAGAGACAGUGGACAUCAAAGCACCAGUAUGUGUGUCUCAGUGUGUGUAUAUUGGCGAGAGCAAGGACAGGCAGAGGAGCAGACAAUUGUCCUUCAGUCCGUUGUGGGACUCCAAUCUCGAAAAGGUCCAGUGUGCAGGAGUGGA